AGAGUUUGAUCAUGGCUCAGGACGAACGCUGGCGGCGCGCUUAACACAUGCAAGUCGAGCGAGAACCGGUCCUUCGGGACCGGGGAAAGCGGCGAACGGGUGAGUAACACGUGAGUAAUCCACCCUCGGCACCGGGAUAGCCCGGGGAAACCCGGAUUAAUACCGGAUAGCCCAACAGCCUUUCGGGGCGGUUGGAAAAGGUAGCUUAGGCCUCUGGCCGAGGACGAGCUCGCGGCGGAUUAGCUUGUUGGUGAGGUAACGGCUCACCAAGGCGACGAUCCGUAGCUGGUCUGAGAGGACGAUCAGCCACACUGGGACUGAGACACGGCCCAGACUCCUACGGGAGGCAGCAGUGGGGAAUCUUGCGCAAUGGGCGAAAGCCUGACGCAGCGACGCCGCGUGAGGGAAGAAGGCUUUCGGGUUGUAAACCUCUUUCAGGAGGGACGAAGCUCCUCGGGUUAAUAGCCCAGAGGGUGACGGUACCUCCAGAAGAAGCCCCGGCUAACUACGUGCCAGCAGCCGCGGUA
rnacentral:rRNA from 1 species